rnacentral:misc_RNA from 1 species
UUAUUAUGUUAUAAUAAUGAUUACAUUGGUUACAUUGUUGUUUGAUAAGAUCGUCAAGACACCGGGAGUCCCGAAAGACUCAAGGGUCCGACUGUGCACAGGUGUUUAUGGAUAUGAAGGGUGAGAGGCAGAGCCUACUCAGAAUUCAUUAAUGAUCCUUCCGCAGGUUCACCUACGGAAA